rnacentral:rRNA from 1 species
AAAUAGAUUAAAAUAAUUAAGGGCACACAAAGGAUGCCUUGGUAGUAAGAGCCGAUGAAGGACGUGGUAAGCUGCGAUAAGCCUAGAUAAGUUGCAAUCGAACGUAAGAGUCUAGGAUUUCCGAAUGGAGCAAUCUAUUAAGAUGGAGUCUUAAUACGAAAGAGGGAACCGCGUGAACUGAAACAUCUAAGUAACGCGAGGAAAAGAAAGUAAAAACGAUACCCGAAGUAGCGGCGAGCGAAACGGGUCAAGCCUAAACCUUAAAUAUGUCAAGGAUACAGCCGUUGUAUUUAAGGGGUUGAGGGACAGAGUGAUGAAGAACUGUAAGAUAUUCAAUAUAGUGUAUUGAUGAACUAGAAUAGUCUGGAAAGGUUAACCGUAGAAGGUGAAAGUCCUGUAUAGGUAAAUCCUUACACAUAUAACUUUGAUCCCAAGUAACAUGGAACACGAGGAAUUCUGUGUGAAUCAGUGAGGACCAUAUCUCAUAAGGCUAAAUACUCUUACUAACCGAUAGCGCAUAGUACCGUGAGGGAAAGGUGAAAAGAACCCCUGGAGGGGAGUGAAAUAGAACCUGAAAUUGUGUGCUUACAAGCGGUCAGAGCCAGUAAUGGUGAUGGCGUGCCUUUUGGAGAAUGAUCCUGCGAGUUACGUUAAACGGCGAGGUUAAGUAUUACGGAGCCGAAGGGAAACCAAGUCUUAAUAGGGCGAUUUAGUCGUUUGGCGUAGACGCGAAACCUGGUGAUCUAAACCUGUCCAGGAUGAAGCUGUGGUAAGACACAGUGGAGGUCCUAACCCACCGCCGUUGAAAAGUUGGGGGAUGAGGUAGGUUUAGGGGUGAAAAGCCAAUCGAACCAGGAGAUAGCUCGUUCUCUCCGAAAUGCAUCUAGGUGCAGCCUUGAGUGUUCAAUUAUGGGGGUAGAGCACUGAAUGAUCUAGGGGGCAUAUUGCUUACUGAAAUCAAUCAAACUCCGAAUACCAUAAUUUAUAGCUCAGGAGUGAGACUAUGGGAGUUAACUUCCAUUGUCAAAAGGGAAACAACCCAGACCACCAGCUAAGGUCCCUAAUUAUAACUAAGUGGGAAAGGAGGUGGAGAUUCACAAACAACUAGGAGGUUGGCUUAGAAGCAGCCAUACCUUUAAAGAGUGCGUAAUAGCUCACUAGUCGAGAGUCUCUGCGCCGACAAUGUAACGGGGCUAAGUUAUAAACCGAAGCUGUGGAAUCCGUAAGGAUUGGUAGGAGAGCGUUCUGUAGGCCGUUGAAGGAGAAGGGUAACCGACUUUGGAGGUAUCAGAAGUGAGAAUGCAGGAAUAAGUAGCGAGAAAGGGGGCGAGAAUCCCCCUCGCCGGAAGACCAAGGUUUUCAGGGUAAAGCUUGUCUUCCCUGAGUAAGCCGGGACCUAAGCCCAGGCUAUAAUGCGUAGGCGAAUGGAAAACAGAUUAAUAUUUCUGUGCCAGUCAUAUAUUGUGAUGGAGGGACGCAGAAGGGUAUGCGCGCGGACGAACGGAAGUGUCCGUAGAAGUAUGUAGGAUGACUUAGUAGGAAAAUCCAUUAAGUUAUAUCUGAGGUAUGAUAUAUAGUCGUAAGAUGAAUGCGCAAAUCCCACGCUGCCAAGAAAAGCUUCUAACGUUAAUUUAUGACUGCCCGUACUGCAAACCGACACAGGUGGUCAGGAUGAGAAAUCUAAGGCGGACAGGCUAACUCUCGUUAAGGAACUCUGCAAAAUAACCUCGUAACUUCGGGAGAAGAGGAGCCCUUGGGUGUUAGUAUCCAUGCGAUACAAAGCGCUCGAGGGUCGCAGUGAAGAGGCUCAAGCAACUGUUUAACAAAAACACAGGUCUAUGCUAAGCUGGAAGGCGAUGUAUAUGGGCUGACACCUGCCCAGUGCUGGAAGGUUAAGAGGAGGAGUGAGAGCUCCGAAUUGAAGCCCCAGUGAACGGCGGCCGUAACUAUAACGGUCCUAAGGUAGCGAAAUUCCUUGUCGGGUAAGUUCCGACCUGCACGAAUGGUGUAAUGAUUUGAGCGCUGUCUUGACGGGAGGCCUGGUGAAAUUGUAUUACCGGUGAAGAUACCGGUUACCUACAGUAGGACGGAAAGACCCCAUGGAGCUUUACUGUAGCUUGGUAUUGGGUUUUGGCAUUGCAUGUAUAGGAUAGUUGGGAGACUGAGAUGAUAUGGCGCUAGCUGUAUCGGAGUCAUCGGUGGAAUACCAACCAUUCAAUGCUGAAAUUCUAAUCUGUGGUUUGUAGCCACGGAGACAGUGCUAGGUGGGCAGUUUGACUGGGGCGGUCGCCUCCGAAAGAGUAACGGAGGCGUUCAAAGGUUCUCUCAGGUUGGAUGGAAAUCAACCAUAGAGUGCAAUGGCAUAAGAGAGCUUGACUGCAAGACUGACGGGUCGAGCAGAUGCGAAAGCAGGACAUAGUGAUCCGGCGAUUCCGAAUGGAAGGGUCGUCGCUCAACGGAUAAAAGCUACCCUGGGGAUAACAGGCUGAUCCUACCCGAGAGUCCAUAUCGACGGUAGGGUUUGGCACCUCGAUGUCGGCUCAUCGCAUCCUGGGGCUGGAGAAGGUCCCAAGGGUUGGGCUGUUCGCCCAUUAAAGCGGUACGUGAGCUGGGUUCAGAACGUCGUGAGACAGUUCGGUCCCUAUCCACUGUAGGCGUUAGAAUAUUGAGAAGACCUGUCCUUAGUACGAGAGGACCGGGAUGGACAAACCUCUGAUGUACCAGUUGUCACGCCAGUGGCACAGCUGGGUAGUCACGUUUGGAAUAGAUAACCGCUGAAAGCAUCUAAGCGGGAAACUAACUUCAAGAUAAGUAUUCUUUAAGAUACCUUCGAGCCUAGGAGGUUGAUAGGUUGGGGGUGUAAGUACAGCAAUGUAUUUAGCUGACCAAUACUAAUUAUCGAAGUUUUAAUCUAAUUUGUUUUUACUAUAUAGUUUC